rnacentral:rRNA from 1 species
UACGGCGGUCAUAGCGACAGGGAAACGCCCGGCUCCAUUCCGAACCCGGAAGCUAAGCCUGUCAGCGCCGAUGGUACUGCGCGGGGGACCGCGUGGGAGAGUAGGACGCCGCCGGAC